GUGGGGAAUAUUGGGCAAUGGGGGAAACCCUGACCCAGCAACGCCGCGUGAAGGAAGAAGGCUUUCGGGUUGUAAACUUCUUUGACCAGGGACGAAACAAAUGACGGUACCUGGAAAACAAGCCACGGCUAACUACGUGCCAGCAGCCGCGGUAAUACGUAGGUGGCAAGCGUUGUCCGGAUUUACUGGGUGUAAAGGGCGCGUAGGCGGGAUGGCAAGUCAGAUGUGAAAUGCCGGGGCUUAACCUCGGCACUGCAUUUGAAACUGCUGUUCGUGAGUAUCGGAGAGGCAGGCGGAAUUCCUAGUGUAGCGGUGAAAUGCGUAGAUAUUAGGAGGAACACCAGUGGCGAAGGCGGCCUGCUGGACGACAACUGACGCUGAUGCGCGAAAGCGUGGGGAGCAAACAGGAUUAGAAACCCGAGUAGUCC
rnacentral:rRNA from 1 species